AUGUUCUCUACAUCUCUACUGCUCCUGCUGGCAGCUGCUUCCUAUGUGCAUGGUGAGGAACUGACUCAGCCUGCUUCCAUGCCAGUCCAGCCAGGCCAGAGUCUCUCCAUCAACUGCAAGGUUUCAUAUUCUGUUACCAGCUAUACUACAGCUUGGAUCCGACAACCUGCAGGAAAAGCUAUGAAGUGGAUUGGAUAUAUCAGUUACAAUGGGGGUAUAGCUUACAGUGACAAACUGAAAAAUAAGUUCAGUAUCUCCAGAGACACUGCUACUAACACAAUAACAAUUGGAGGACAGAAUCUGCAAACUGAAGACACAGCUUUGUAUUACUGCGCAAGAGUCACAGUGACACAGAAUAGUGGAUUCUCCUUACAAAAACUUUGA